rnacentral:lncRNA from 1 species
UCAUUUACUUUUUUUUUUUCUUUUUUUUUGAUCAAACUUUUUUUUUCUUUCUUAAAGAGUACUAUGAGGGGCAUUAGUUAACAUCGUCUUAAACAUUAAUCAAGUACUGAAUUUUAGAUGAACCUCUGGUUAACUAUCAAUCAAUAUCAAUAUUCUUACAAUAGGAUUGAACCGAAUGGGAGUUUAGAGCUCUCCUUCGUUGCCUUUUCGUUCUGUAAGCUUUUCGCGUUCUCCUUUUGGGUUCGUCUGGAUUCGGUGGAAAGAUUUCUAUCUCCUUUUCGAUUUCCUUUUUUAUCUCCUUUUCAAUUUCCUUUUCGAUUUCCUUUGUCUCCUUUUCGAUAUAUAUGGAUGGGUUUGGGUUUCGUUUUCAUUCAUUCGCUUUCGAUCUCUCUCGCUCUCUCUUUCUUUGUUGUUUGUUUUGGGGUUGUCUCAGAUGGCUGGUAGGUUUGUGCGAUGCAGUGCCCGGAAGAACUUCCUGACGUUUCAAGGUCUGGGUCGCAAGGAUUUGGGAGGUAANNNNNNNNNNNNNNNNNNNNNNNNNNNNNNNNNNNNNNNNNNNNNNNNNNNNNNNNNNNNNNNNNGAUUUAUGGUUCAUUUAUUGUUGAUUUUUGUGUUUGUUUGUUAUGCUGUGUUGUGUGGGAUUUUUGUUAUUCUUUUUGCUUUGUUGUGGUGGUGAUUUCGUUUUUUAUAUAUCGUUUGAGAUUUUUGUUAUUCUUUUUUGUUUGUUGUGGUGGUGAUUUCGUUUUUCAAAUUCCAGGGUGGAAAAAUUCACACUACUGCUUGGAAGCAGCUGCUAUACCUGUUUCAGAGGAAGUUGGAGGAAAGGCUUGUCUAUGUUUUGUUUGUGGUUGAUGCCAAGGUGUGUAUUGUUUUUACAAUUUUUAUCCUUAUUUAUUCUUUCUCCUUCUCAUUAGAUUUUGUGUGUUUUGGUUGUUUGGUCGUUUAAUUGAAGGGUUCAUUUGUGAUUUUUUUAUUUUUUUUUCUUUUGCAGGAUUUGAUUUUAAUUCUUUGUUUCAUUUCAAGGUUUGAACUUAUUUCUUGUUUUAUUUGUGAUUCUAUUUUGUAUAUUUUGUAUCUUGUUUCUUUUUCAUCUAACAAUGGAGUNNNNNNNNNNNNNNNNNNNNNNNNNNNNNNNNNNNNNNNUUCAUCUACCAUAUGCUUAUGAUAAAAUAAAUAUUUACAAAACUUGGGUUGAAGAAUACGAUUGUGAGGAUGGUGUUAGAUUCCAGGUAUGGUUCUGGAUGUAUGUUCUGCAUAUAUACAGGGAUUUUGAUAAAUUGGGUUGAAGGACUCGGUUAUGUGAUUAGCUUAUGAUCUCUAUCUCUUGGUUAAACCAUUUAAAUACUUUACUUGUCUUUUUCUGUAUGCUAAUGAUCUUAUUACGUAACUAAUUGCAGGCCUCUUCCUUUGUAUGAUUGCCGCUUAACUGGUGCAAGUAUUCAGGUAUUUGGCAUGCAUCGUUAUGCAGUUGCAGAAUUUAGGUAAACUGCUAGGGUUAAGUGGCAGAUAUGCAAGCUGCGCACUGUAACAAUGUUGUUCCAAUUCAGUGCAAUGUAGUGUUUACCAUAAAAAAAGAAAGUAAUUGGUUCAAUUCAGUGUUGUAGUUUAUUUGAACCUGGCAAGCAAAAUGUGUUUAUUUUUUUGCUCAAUUAGAUUCUAAGGUGUUUGUUUAUUCUUAAAAUCAACGUGACUCAUAAAAUUAUGCCAAAAAAACAAGAAAGUGUGAAAGAUUGGCAUACUGAUUUACUUGCUUGUUGUUCUGAACCUUAUUUUUUAUGUACUUUCCUGUUAAUUUGAUUUUCUUUAGUUAUGUGAGUAAUUAAAGAAUAUUUUCAUCUUAGAUAAUAUAAGUAUAUAAUUUGAUUUGUAGGUAUAAAGACAUUCUUGUAUCCAUGUGGGACAUUCUUGAUGAUGUUUUCACUAUUGGUCCACUUCCUAUUUUAUGUUCUCAUAAACAUAGUAUGCAGUCAAUACAAAGUGUAGCUGGAGUUGUAGAUGCUCAUGUAUUUUAUAGAAAGAUCAUGAUUAAUUUAGUUAUAAUUGAUUGGGAAUUUGUUAUAGUGUUGAUAUUCUUAGAUGUGUUGUUGAAAGCUUACUUUUUGAGAUCAAUGAUCUACCAAAUGUUUGCUUUUGUUUUUAAAACACUUUGACACCAUUAAAUAUGCUUUUGCAGGGUGUCCCCCCCCUCCGCCCCUCUUUUUGCAACCAUGGUUGAUCCUUAUUUUGAUAGUUUGAAGGAUGCAGAUGCUGUGGUACCUAGAUUUUAAGCUUGGAAUAAACUUGACCCUGCUGGAGCAUCACUCGACACUAGCCAAUUGCAAAGCACAAAUUAAAUUUGAUUUUGGUUAUUAUAAUUUGUUCAUACAUUUGGUUUUUCCUUUUAUAUGGCUUUGAAAUGUACAUUGUUGUUUGACCUCUUAAUUAAAUGUAUCUUUAGAGUGCUGAAUCAAUAUCAUUGAUGCUAAUGAAGAGGUUUUUAAAUCAUUACAGUUCAAAUGUGUCAUGGAAUUUAGAACAUGACAAGAGUUCAUUGAAACCAUUCAUUAGUUCUUUGUUCUUGAUGGCAAAGGCUAAAUUUGUGAAGAAUAAUAGAGUCAAGUGUGUGGGUUUGACUUCUUAACAUUUGUGAGUUGAAUUAGAAAUAGUCAAAUAGCUACACAGAAGACAUUGUAGUC